AUUAUUUUGGCAGAUAAGUGCAUUAAAAUUAGAAUUUAAUUAUGUAAAUGAUAAUUUACAAAUAAU
rnacentral:tRNA from 1 species